rnacentral:rRNA from 1 species
CCUACGGGAGGCUGCAGUGGGGAAUAUUGGACAAUGGGCGAAAGCCUGAUCCAGCCAUGCCGCGUGUGUGAAGAAGGCCUUCGGGUUGUAAAGCACUUUCAGUGGGGAAGAAAGCCUUGGGGCUAAUACCCUCGAGGAAGGACAUCACCCACAGAAGAAGCACCGGCUAACUCCGUGCCAGCAGCCGCGGUAAUACGGAGGGUGCGAGCGUUAAUCGGAAUUACUGGGCGUAAAGCGCGCGUAGGCGGUCUGAUAAGCCGGUUGUGAAAGCCCCGGGCUCAACCUGGGAACGGCAUCCGGAACUGUCAGGCUAGAGUGCAGGAGAGGAAGGUAGAAUUCCCGGUGUAGCGGUGAAAUGCGUAGAGAUCGGGAGGAAUACCAGUGGCGAAGGCGGCCUUCUGGACUGACACUGACGCUGAGGUGCGAAAGCGUGGGUAGCAAACAGGAUUAGAUACACUGGUAGUC